GACGAACGCUGGCGGCGUGCUUAACACAUGCAAGUCGAACGGAAAGGCCCUGCUUUUGUGGGGUGCUCGAGUGGCGAACGGGUGAGUAACACGUGAGUAACCUGCCCUGGACGGUGGGAUAACUUGAGGAAACUGGGGCUAAUACCGGAGAGGAGCUCCUGCUGCAUGGUGGGGGUUGGAAAGUUUCGGCUGUUGGGGAUGGACUCGCGGCUUAUCAGCUUGUUGGGGGGGGAGUGGCUUACCAAGGCUUUGACGGGUAGCCGGCCUGAGAGGGUGGCCGGCGACAUUGGGACUGAGAUACGGCCCAGACUCCUACGGGAGACAGCAGUGGGGAAUAUUGCCCAAUGGGCGGAAGCCUGAUGCAGCAACGCCGGGUGCGGGAUGACGGCCUUCGGGUUGUAAACCGCUGUCGCCUGUGACGAAGCGUGAGUGACGGUAAUGGGUAAAGAAGCACCGGCUAACUACGUG
rnacentral:rRNA from 1 species